rnacentral:ncRNA from 1 species
CGACCCCAGGUCAGGCGGGAUCACUCGCUGAGUUUAAGCAUAUCAAUAAGCGGAGGAAAAGAAACUAACAACGAUUCCCUUAGUAACGGCGAGCGAACCGGGAAGAGCCCAACUUGAAAAUCGGACGUCUUUGGCAUUCGAAUUGUAGUAUGGAGUAGCAUCCUCAGCGACGGACCGGGCCCAAGUUCCCUGGAAAGGGGCGCCAGAGAGGGUGAGAGCCCCGUCGUGCCCGGAGCCUGUCGCACCACGAGGCGCUGUCUACGAGUCGGGUUUUUUGGGAAUGCAGCCCCAAUCAGGCGGUAACUUCCAUCCAAGGCUAAAUAUGGGCGAGAGACCGAUAGCGAACAAGUACCGUGAGGUAAAGAUGAAAAGGACUUUGAAAAGAGAGUCAAAGAGUGCUUGAAAUUGUCGGGAGGGAAGCGGAUGGGGGCCGGCGAUUCAUCCCGGUCGGAUGCGGAACAAAGCAAUGGCAGUGGACCGACACGGAUUAAUGUGGUAACCUAAGCCUGGGCUUUUGUUACGGCCACGGAGACGUCGCUGCCUUAAUCGUGGUCUGCAGCACACGCCUCACGGUGUGCCUUGCCAUCUGCGUGCU